AGGUUAAGUACUAGGAGGUACGGAGCCGCAGGGAAACCGAGUCUUAAUAGGGCGAGAAGUUGUAUAUCAUAGACCCGAAACCGGGUGAUCUAUUCAUGGGCAGAGUGAAGUUUUAGUAAAAUAAAAUGGAGGCUCGAACCCGGUAGCGUUUAAAAGCUAUGGGAUGACCUGUGAAUAGGGGUGAAAAGCCAAUCGAACUCGGAGAUAGCUGGUUCUCCUCGAAAUAGCUUUAGGGCUAGCCUCAAAGGAUAAGUGAGAUGGAGGUAGAGCACUGAAUGGACAAGGGGCUUAUAUAAGUUACCGAAGCCUAUCAAACUCCGAAUGCCAUACUCAUAACUUUGGGAGUCAGACUAUGUGGGAUAAGCUUCAUAGUCAAAAGGGAAACAGCCCAGACCACCAGCUAAGGUCCCAAAAUACGUAUUAAGUGUAAAAGGAUGUGAAGUUACACAGACAACCAGGAUGUUGGCUUAGAAGCAGCCAUACAUUCAAAGAGUGCGUAAUAGCUCACUGGUCGAGUGACUUUGCGCCGAAGAUUUCCGGGGCUUAAAUACGUUACCGAAGCUGUGGGAUACGCGUAUUCAAUCAAGGAUAUGCGAAUCGGUAGAGGAGCAUUGUGUAGUAGGAAGAAGGCAUAC
rnacentral:rRNA from 1 species